rnacentral:rRNA from 1 species
GAUGAACGCUGACAGAAUGCUUAACACAUGCAAGUCUUUGGUGAAGCUGUGCUUGCACAGCCUAGCCAAGGCGGACGGGUGAGUAACGCGUAAGGAACUUGCCCUGCAGUCAGGGAUAACAGACGGAAACGACUGAUAAGACCUGGUAAAGUCAGGCGGACUCAUGUCCAGCCUGAUGAAAAGAGAUGCUGCAGGAGAGCCUUGCGUCCUAUUAGCUUGUUGGUGGGGUAACGGCCCACCAAGGCAAUGAUAGGUAGCCGGCCUGAGAGGGUGGACGGCCACAAGGGGACUGAGAUACGGCCCUUACUCCUACGGGGGGCAGCAGUGGGGAAUAUUGGACAAUGGGGGCAACCCUGAUCCAGCAAUUCUGUGUGCACGAUGAAGGUUUUCGGAUUGUAAAGUGCUUUCAGCAGGGAAGAAAAAAAUGACGGUACCUGCAGAAGAAGCGACGGCUAAAUACGUG